UACGGGGGGAGCAAGCGUUGUUCGGAUUUACUGGGCGUAAAGGGCGCGUAGGCGGCCACGACAAGUCACUUGUGAAAUCUCCGGGCUUAACUCGGAGCGGUCAAGUGAUACUGUCGGGCUAGAGUACAGAAGGGGCAACUGGAAUUCUCGGUGUAGCGGUGAAAUGCGUAGAUAUCUGGAGGAACACCGGUGGCGAAGGCGGCAUCCUGGACCGACACUGACGCUGAGGAGCGAAAGCCAGGGGAGCAAACGGG
rnacentral:rRNA from 1 species